rnacentral:lncRNA from 1 species
GGUUCUCAACCCUGGCUGCACAUUAGGAUCACCUGGGGAGCUUUUAAAAAAACUCUGAUGCCUGGGCUUCACCUCAGACCAAUUCAGUCACGGUCGAUGCGGGUGGAUGUCAGUGUGCUGUGAAACUCCCCAGGUGCUUCUCAUGUGCAGCCAGGGCUGAGCACUCUGCUGCUUUCCCCCCUCUCUGUCAGAAAAUGAGCAUGGGGGAAACAGAGCCGACUUGUGUGGACAGGGUGCACGGACCACUAAUAGAAUUUUGACGUUGUGGCUCCUUAAAUAGCCUCCCAAUUGGUAUGCACAUAUUAGAAGCUCACGCGGAGGCGAAGGCCGAGGUGCAUGCAGCUGCCGCCUGGACGUGCGUCCAGUCCAUGUUGACGUUUGAAGAGUCACAGAGUGUGAAAAUGAACCUGAAGGAGAACUGGUGAAAUCACGUCCAGUGGCGACUCCGAACUCUGACUGACUGAGGGAGCCAAGUCGGACGCUGAGAGCAGCGGCCAGAGGACUGACUUCAGGCUGGAGGUCAACACGAUUGGAAUGUGACUAAACCUCCCCUCUGCAGUCUCGGCUUCUGAAUGUGCGCACACAGCUGAUCUCAGAGGCUCUAGUGUGAUGGUCUCAAGACCCACAGUCAGGACUGCAUUUCACACAUGUUACUUUGCUGGAGAAAAAUAAGAAGAAUCUGGUGAAACAGUAAUUUCUUAGGAUGCUCUAUGAGGAAAACGGGCUUCCCUGUUAAGGUUCACUGUGCAACAGUAAUUUAUUUGUCUGCUGACUCCCUCAACUGCCUGUCUGAUAAUAGAACUGCUUACUGCUAUGUGGAAACGCAAGGCUGGGAUUGUCUUCCAUGUGCCGCGACCUUGUGGGUGCUGCUGUCUUUAAGAGCUUUAUGAACUGGUAUAAUACGUCACAGUUGUUCUAAUUAUUUUCUCAUCUCUACCCUAUUCACUUUCCCUCAUUGGUUCGGUUUUGGGGAGGCAUUAUGUUUAAUUAUCAUUUCCCCGGAGUUGAAAAAAAAACUAUUCACAUUGAGUGUUAAACUCAUACUUGACUUUAAAGUCAGUUAAAAUUUCUGAAUUGUAGGUGUUUCAUACAUGUAGGCUAUCUCGUUUCAUCUGGUCUCAUCGAGUUUUAGUCAUAAGUUAAAGAAUGUUUAGUGGAAUAUUAUAUAUGGGUCUGCUUUAUA